UACGUAGGGGGCAAGCGUUGUCCGGAUUCAUUGGGCGUAAAGAGCGUGUAGGCGGCCAGGUAGGUCGGUUGUGAAAACUGGAGGCUCAACCUUCAGAGGUCGACCGAAACCAUCUGGCUAGAGUCCGGGAGAGGAGAGUGGAAUUCCUGGUGUAGCGGUGAAAUGCGCAGAUAUCAGGAAGAACACCCGUGGCGAAAGCGGCUCUCUGGAACGGUACUGGCGCUGAGACGCGAAAGCGUGGGGGAGCGAACAGG
rnacentral:rRNA from 1 species